CUCCAUUAAACACCAUCUCAACCUAUUGUUCUUAAUAUUAAAACUACAUACUAGUAUUUUUCCUGAUUCAAAGUUUAUACCAUUUUAUAUCAUAAAAUAAAGUUUAGAUGCUUGUUAAUUAACACUCUUCUCCUCGAUAAUAUGUAUUUUAUUUAUAUAUCCUCAAAAUUGAAAUCUACCUGCAUAAUACAAACGUCAUUUCCUUUUUUCAGGAUAUAAAUAUAUAAUUGGAGCA
rnacentral:lncRNA from 1 species